GAUGAACGCUGGCGGCGUGCCUAAUACAUGCAAGUCGAGCGAACAGACGAGGAGCUUGCUCCUCUGACGUUAGCGGCGGACGGGUGAGUAACACGUGGAUAACCUACCUAUAAGACUGGGAUAACUUCGGGAAACCGGAGCUAAUACCGGAUAAUAUAUUGAACCGCAUGGUUCAAUAGUGAAAGACGGUUUUGCUGUCACCUAUAGAUGGAUCCGCGCCGCAUUAGCUAGUCGGUAAGGUAACGGCUUACCAAGGCAACGAUGCGUAGCCGACCUGAGAGGGUGAUCGGCCACACUGGAACUGAGACACGGUCCAGACUCCUACGGGAGGCAGCAGUAGGGAAUCUUCCGCAAUGGGCGAAAGCCUGACGGAGCAACGCCGCGUGAGUGAUGAAGGUCUUCGGAUCGUAAAACUCUGUUAUUAGGGAAGAACAAAUGUGUAAGUAACUAUGCACGUCUUGACGGUACCUAAUCAGAAAGCCACGGCUAACUACGUG
rnacentral:rRNA from 1 species